UGAAGAGUUUGAUCAUGGCUCAGAUUGAACGCUGGCGGCAGGCCUAACACAUGCAAGUCGAACGGUAACAGGAAGCAGCUUGCUGCUUUGCUGACGAGUGGCGGACGGGUGAGUAAUGUCUGGGAAACUGCCUGAUGGAGGGGGAUAACUACUGGAAACGGUGGCUAAUACCGCAUAACGUCGCAAGACCAAAGAGGGGGACCUUCGGGCCUCUUGCCAUCAGAUGUGCCCAGAUGGGAUUAGCUUGUUGGUGAGGUAACGGCUCACCAAGGCGACGAUCCCUAGCUGGUCUGAGAGGAUGACCAGCCACACUGGAACUGAGACACGGUCCAGACUCCUACGGGAGGCAGCAGUGGGGAAUAUUGCACAAUGGGCGCAAGCCUGAUGCAGCCAUGCCGCGUGUAUGAAGAAGGCCUUCGGGUUGUAAAGUACUUUCAGCGGGGAGGAAGGUGUUGUGGUUAAUAACCGCAGCAAUUGACGUUACCCGCAGAAGAAGCACCGGCUAACUCCGUGCCAGCAGCCGCGGUAAUACGGAGGGUGCAAGCGUUAAUCGGAAUUACUGGGCGUAAAGCGCACGCAGGCGGUCUGUCAAGUCGGAUGUGAAAUCCCCGGGCUCAACCUGGGAACUGCAUUCGAAACUGGCAGGCUUGAGUCUUGUAGAGGGGGGUAGAAUUCCAGGUGUAGCGGUGAAAUGCGUAGAGAUCUGGAGGAAUACCGGUGGCGAAGGCGGCCCCCUGGACAAAGACUGACGCUCAGGUGCGAAAGCGUGGGGAGCAAACAGGAUUAGAUACCCUGGUAGUCCACGCCGUAAACGAUGUCUACUUGGAGGUUGUGCCCUUGAGGCGUGGCUUCCGGAGCUAACGCGUUAAGUAGACCGCCUGGGGAGUACGGCCGCAAGGUUAAAACUCAAAUGAAUUGACGGGGGCCCGCACAAGCGGUGGAGCAUGUGGUUUAAUUCGAUGCAACGCGAAGAACCUUACCUGGUCUUGACAUCCACGGAAGUUUUCAGAGA
rnacentral:rRNA from 1 species